rnacentral:hammerhead_ribozyme from 1 species
UUACUGCUGAGGAGUUCCACAAUAGGACGAAACGGCCGUCCAGUGC